GCUUUGUCUCCGGGGGAGGCGUCUCCGGGCUGACCGCGGCCGCAGCUCCGCUCCUCUGCCCGAGCCGUGCGGCAGCCCUGGGAGCCUCUGAACGCCGAGCUUUCCUGAGAAGCCCGCGGCCAUCCGGGCCUCGGCCGCCGUUCCUGCCCGAACUGAGGGCACAUCGCGCCUCGCGCGGGAUUUCCCAUAAAUUCAGGCUCCGGGCAAGAUUGUGUGUUUUUCCCUCUCCGCGGGCCGCCGCUGGCCGUGUGGGCCGAAGAAGCCCUGGAGGGGGAGAGGGGAGCCGCUCUCGACUGGGCCUGCGGCGUGGGAGGGACAGUGAGGACACUUAGGGACUGUGUGGGGCAGUGAAGGACAGUGUGGGAUGAGGAGGGACGGUGUGGGCCGGUGAGGGACUGCGUGGGACAGUGCGGGACAAUGAGAGACGGCGUGGGACAGUGAGGGACAGUGUGGGACAGUGAGGGACAGUGUGGGACGGUGAGGGACAGUGUGGGACAGUGAGGGACAGUGUGGGACGGUGAGGGACAGUGCGGGACUGUGGUACAGUGUGGGACUGUGUGGGACGGUGAGGGACAGUGCGGGACUGUGGUACAGUGUGGGACGGUGAGGGACAAUGAGGGACAGUGAGGGACUGUGUAGGACAGUGUGGGACGGUGAGGGACUGUGUGGGGCAGUGAGGGACUCUGGGACUGUGAGGGACUCGGACAGUGAAGGAUGGCAAGGGAUAGUGUGGGACAGUAUGGGACAGUGGACUGAGGUACAGUGAGGGGCGGUGAGGAACAGUGAGGGACUGUGUGGGACAAUGAAGGAUGGCAAGGGACAGUGUGGGACAGUGGACGGUGAGGUACUGUGAGGGUCGGUGAGGGACAGUGUGGGACUGUGAGGGAUGGCGAGGGACAGAGUAGAACAGCAAGGGAGGAUGAGGGGACAGAGUGGGCCGGCGUGGGGCGGUGAGGCCACGCGGGGGAAGCCCAGGGAUCCUCUGACUGCGUUGGAAAAUGGAGGAAAGGUCCCGCUGGAGGUUGAGCCCUUCAGGGUCGCUGUGGGUUUCCAGGAGGAGCUCCCCCACUACUGACUUAGGGGGCCCUCGGCUUCCCAGUGUCAGAAGAAGCUGUCUUUGGAGUGAGAACAAGGGUGAGGUUCUGGCUCAGAAACCUUAGAAUCACGGACACUGUUUUCCUGAAAACAUUGCUUCUUUCUCUCCUCUCAAAGAAAUGCCACAAGUCGUAUCUCUGGAGGCCCGAAGUCCAAGAUCAAGGUGUCACCACGGCCAUGCUGCAUUCUGGGUGGAAUCCUUCGUGGCCUCUUCCUGGCUUCUGGCUGUGGCUGGCAAUCUUGGCGUUCCUUGACUAGCAGCUGCGCCCCUCCCCUGCUGUGCCUCCAUCUUCCCAUGGUCCCGGUCAUACUGGAUGAAGGGCCCAUCCUACUCCACAAUGAUCAUCUUUAAAAAAAUUGCAUCUUCCUCACAGCUACUCUUUGAUGAACGGUAGUUCCCACUUUAUGGCUGAGGAAACAGAAGCAAAGAGAGGUCAAGCAACUUGCCCCAGGCUGCACAGCUAGGAAAUGGAUGAGCCAGGAUCUGAACCCAGGCAGUGUGGCCUGAGCCUGAGCUCAUUAGUUCAUGCCAGGCGGGGUUUGACCAAAACCUUGGACUCACUCCUGUCUGCUUUCCUUCAAUGACUAAGAGGAUUCCUGAGAUGGAUGUGCAAACAUGAAGUGUUGACUUUCCUCCAUGGGAAUGUACUUCUGGGUUCUACUCUUCAGCUGCUGCUGCUGCUGCUAAGCCACUGAGGUUUCCCCACUGCGAGCCCUUCGAGAACAAUGUCAUGUUGAUCGAUGGCAGUGACUCACGCCAGACCUUUCCAUGCCUCCUCUGCAAGGACUCAAGAGAGUCGAGGGCAAAACCGUGCCAUAGUUCCAUGAAGGAGGGCAAAGAGCUUUAUCCAUGCUGAGGAACAGGCAGAUCAUGUGGCUACAGCACUGGUCUUUACCUUUUAACUGCUUGAUUCGAAACAUUCCAGCCAGGAACAGUGGCUCACACCUGUAAUCCCAGCACUUUGGGAGGCCAAGGCGGGUGGAUCGCUUGAGCUCAGGAGUUCGAAACCAGCCUGGGCAACCUGGCAAAACCCCAUCUCUACAAAAAAAUACAAAAAUUAGCCAGGCCUGGUGUGUGUGCCUGUAGUUCCAGCUACUCGGCAGGCUGCGGCCGGAGGAUCACUUGAGCCCAGGAAGUGGAGGUUGCAGUGAGCUGAGAUCGUGCUGCUGCACUCCAGCCUGGGUGACAGAGCCAGACAUUGUCUCUAUAAAAAAAAAAAAAAGAAAAGAAAAGAAAAAAGAGAAAUGGUCCAAGACUAUGGAGAAAGCCUUCUUUGGGGUCAGUGUGAACCAUUCUUUCGUUCGUUCAGCAAAUGCUUACUGAGGAGCUACCGUGUCCCUGAAAUUGCCUCCACCUCCAAGAAGACAGUGGUGAGCAAGUCAGACAAUACCUCUAAUCUCAUGGAAUUUAUAAGUAAAUGGGCCAUUACAAUUACCAGAUCAGAAGUGCUGUGAUGAGCAAAUAGAGGCUCGUGGGAAACUCCUAAGAAGGGCUUCUGAGCUGGACUUGGGGGUCAGGAAAGGCAGAAUGUGGGGGCUGACUCAUCCCGACCGGGGCGGGACUAGCGGGGGUGCCUCCCACUUACUGUCUGUCUCCUUCUAGACUGACUUCUCUGUCAUCAUGAAUACACCCCUUUAAGACAUACAUUUAAGAGAAAAUAAUAGGAUGCCUUAUUUAUUUAAAUGUUUGUUACAUUUUUACUAACAACCACAUACCCACAGGAAAGUCGCAAGUAGAACUCAAAAACUUUUUUCUCUGGGGCAGUGAAGAGUCAGUUGCCAGCCAGAAGGCCCAUAGAGCCUGAGCACUUCAGGGUGUGCUUCCUACAGAUAAGGACAUCCUGCUGCAUAACAGGAAAGGGGUCCUGAUCCAGACCCCAAGAGAGGGUUAUUGGAUCUCGCACAAGAAAGAAUUCAGGGUGAGUCUGUAAAGCGAAAGCCAGUUUAUUAAGUAAAGGAGUAAAAGAAUGGCUAUUCCAUAGACAGAGCAGCCCUGAGGGCUGCUGGUUGCCCAGUUUUAUGGCUAUUUCUUGAUGAUAUGCUAAACAAGGGGUGGAUUACUCAUGCCUCCCCCUUUUAGACCAUAGAGGGUAAUGUCCUGAUGUUGCCAUGGCAUUUGUAAACUGUCAUGGUGCUGGUGGGAGGGAAGCAGUGAGGAUGACCAGAGGUCACUCUCGGCGCCAUCUUGGUUUUUGGUGGGCUUUAGCCGGCUUCUUUACUGCAACCUGUUUUUUCAGCAAUGUCUUUAUGACCUGUAUCUUGUGCCGACCUCCUAUCUCAUCCUGUGACUUAGAAUGCCAUAACCAUCUGGGAAU